rnacentral:rRNA from 1 species
GACGAACGCUGGCGGCGUGCUUAACACAUGCAAGUCGAACGGAAAGGCCUCUUUCGGGGGGUACUCGAGUGGCGAACGGGUGAGUAACACGUGAGUAACCUGCCCUUGACUUUGGGAUAACUUCCGGAAACUGGGGCUAAUACCGGAUAGGAGCUCCUGCUGCACGGUGGGGGUUGGAAAGUUUCGGCGUUUGGGGAUGGACUCGCGGCUUAUCAGCUUGUUGGUGGGGUAGUGGCUUACCAAGGCUUUGACGGGUAGCCGGCCUGAGAGGGUGACCGGCCACAUUGGGACUGAGAGACGGCCCAGACUCCGACGGGAGGCAGCAGGGGGGAAUAUUGCACAAGGGGUGGAAGCCUGAUGCAGAAACGCCGGGUGCGGGAUGACGGCCUUCGGGUUGUAAACCGCUUUCGCUCAUGACGAAGCUUUGUGUGACGGUAGUGGGUAAAGAAGCACCGGCUAACUACGUG